CCUACGGGUGGCAGCAGUGGGGAAUAUUGCACAAUGGGCGCAAGCCUGAUGCAGCCAUGCCGCGUGUGUGAAGAAGGCCUUCGGGUUGUAAAGCACUUUCAGCGGGGAGGAAGGCGGUGAGGUUAAUAACCUCAUCGAUUGACGUUACCCGCAGAAGAAGCACCGGCUAACUCCGUGCCAGCAGCCGCGGUAAUACGGAGGGUGCAAGCGUUAAUCGGAAUUAUUGGGCGUAAAGCGCACGCAGGCGGUCUGUCAAGUCGGAUGUGAAAUCCCCGGGCUCAACCUGGGAACUGCAUUCGAAACUGGCAGGCUAGAGUCUUGUAGAGGGGGGUAGAAUUCCAGGUGUAGCGGUGAAAUGCGUAGAGAUCUGGAGGAAUACCGGUGGCGAAGGCGGCCCCCUGGACAAAGACUGACGCUCAGGUGCGAAAGCGUGGGGAGCAAACAGGAUUAGAUACCCGUGUAGUC
rnacentral:rRNA from 1 species